rnacentral:misc_RNA from 1 species
GAUCCAGAAUGACUUGAUCCAUGCCUGGGGCUUGGAUUUCCAGCUGGGCUAUUGUGCGCAGGGUGAUCGAACAAAAAAUGUCGGUGUCGUUGAUUCUGAGUACAUAGUUCAUCUGGGUCUUUUAACUCUUGGUGUCUUCAAUGGAACUGAGGUGAGUCCUUGAAUUCAUAUUAACAACACAAACAAUUUUGGCACUGUCCCUUUUUCCUUCACUCUCUCUGAGGCAUAGCUGGGACUGACCAGUUUAUUUGUUCAAAAUUCUUGAGCUGAACAAUCACCAGGCCGGCUACUUGUUCUUCUAUUUUGUUUUAGUUCAGAUCACAGUAUAUAGGUUGUUAGAUCAUGGUGCAAGAGUCCCAAGAAUUUUUUCCUAUUCUUGUUAUGGUAUUGAAUUGUUGGAAAUUAUAGUAGUUGAUCUCAUGGCCCUAACAAAUUUUAUUUUCCCGUCUCUCUGCUUUUUCUUUUUUGUGUCCAUAAUACCUUGUGACAGUCUUCUGUGUCAAAAAAUUAAAUAAAAUUUCAUGCUUGGUAUUGCAGGCGCCGUCAGAGUCCCGUAUAGUUGAUAACAGAUUAGCGGUACGUUUGGGUGGUUAUUUUCCAUGCUAGCUUAUGUUCUUGUUUCAGCACGCAUUGCAGAACUGCAAGAUUAUAUUCUCUGUUUUCUGAUUUACAUUCUCAACAAUGCUCGUAUUUUCUAGAAGAAUUUAUGUGUUACCAAUUGUUGAAGAGAACAUUUUACUGAGUAAUGAUCUUUAUACAGGUAAGAAAACAGUCCUCCAUUGAAAUGCAGAUUUUCCGGGAUAGAUGGAGAAACGCCGUAAAGGAAGACAAAUGUUGGGUAGAUCCAUUUCAACACUUAGAAAACCAGACUAGGAUUUAAAUUUGAUUCCACUAAAGCCUUCAACUUGAGCAUCAUGUGAAGGUUGGCGGUCACAUUCAUACAUAACAGCAACAGAUACUUGUACACACACCAUCCAUACAAGCUUUUCAUGGGAAAUAUCUCAAAACAGCUGAAGUCAAGUGUAUCAACUACUAAAGGAGAUUGAGAUUGUGAAUUUAUGAUUUCCUGGCUGCUUCUCCAUAGCUAGUGGUGAUCAUAUGUGGAUGAUCUCAGAGGUGUGGAACAGCCAUUUCAGAACUCUUUUUUUUUUUAUUCUUCAAAUGGGAACUGGCAGAUAUGCCUCGUGUGAAUUUUUUGAAUAGUGUAAAUACAAUUUAAUUUUGAAACUUAUGUAAAUUAUUUUUUUUGAAUUAUUUUGUAG